rnacentral:rRNA from 1 species
GACGAACGCUGGCGGCGUGCUUAACACAUGCAAGUCGAGCGGAAAGGCCCUUCGGGGUACUCGAGCGGCGAACGGGUGAGUAACACGUGAGCAACCUACCUUUAGCUUUGGGAUAACCCUCGGAAACGGGGGCUAAUACCGGAUGUUCACCUUCUGGCGCAUGUUGGGGGGUGGAAAGUUUUUCGGCUAGGGAUGGGCUCGCGGCCUAUCAGCUUGUUGGUGGGGUGAUGGCCUACCAAGGCGACGACGGGUAGCCGGCCUGAGAGGGCG